AUGAUUGACCAGUUGGUGCAGCAGAGCCAUUAGAACCAGCAGUUCCAUAUCCAGUGUUUGAGCCAUAACCAGAAGAAUUAUAAACUGAUGAAGUUUGAUUAUUCCAAGGGCUUCUGGGUGCACCUUGUGGACCACUUCCAUAACCACCAGAAUUUGGGUUGCCAUAAGUGCCGGCAGGUCCAUAGCCAGACGUAGCAUUUCCAUAACCAGGCAUGCCAUAAGCACCAUAUCCGGUGCCAGCAGCUGCAUAUCCAUACCCAGCAUUCCCAUAACCAGAAGACCCAUAACUCGGAUAACCAGAGCCUGCUGUAGGGGGUUGCAUAUACCUAUUAGUGUCCAUUCUACCAUCAUAGGAAGUUGCGUUUGAAAUAGAACCACUAUAAGAUUGAUAUGAUCCACCUUUACCACUGCCAGAGUUAGGAUUUGCAUCCUUAGGUAAAGCCUUCUUUACUUCUACAUGUUUCCCAGCUAAUUCAUGGAAUGUUUUAUGAAGUGCCAACUCAACAGCAUCCUCAGUAUCAAAUGUUAUGAAUCCAAAUCCUCGUGGCCUUUGUGUUGUUUGAUCGUACAUUACAACAACAUCAGUAACGGUUCCGUAAUUCUCAAAAUACUGACGGAAAUCAUCUUCAGUUAGAGUUGGGGGUAACCCUCCAACGAAGAUUUUUUUAGUCCUCAUACUGCCACCUGAUCCACCACCAGCAGACCUACCUGGGUACGAUGCUUUUGCGGUUGUAUGCUGCUCCUCUCUCGAUAGAGCCCUCUUUGCUUCAACCUGUUUCAGCAUAAAACGAUGAAGAAAAGAAGCAUACAUAUAGAUAAUUGAAAUCCAGACCUAUAUAAAAAAAAAAAAAUACUUAUUCAAUCCACAAUGAAAUCUCGAUAGAAGUUGAAAACAUAUUUUUUUAAACGAAAAAGUAAGAAGAACUAUUUUUGAAAUCAAAUCGACAGAUCGAGCACAGAAAGUUAGAGAAUCUUACAGUUCGUCCAUCAAUGACAUGCAUGUCUUGGAGUACAUGUUCGAGAAGCGACGGGUCAGCGAAAACAACGAAACCAAACCCCCUCGGCCUACCUGUGAGUUUAUCCUUCAUGAUGACUGUCUGAAGAACCUCUCCGUAUUUCUCGAAAUACUCCUUCAGUCUCUCAUCCGAGGUCUCCCAAGAAAUACCGCCGAUAAAAAGUUUCCCCUGAUCGGAAUCCAUAAUUUUAGGGUUUGGGUUUCUCUUCGGAAAAAAGGAACUAAUAGACCGCCACGCAGAUUGCGCCCAAUUAUAUAAAGAGUAAAAUUUCUUGCCGAUUAUAUUUGAAUGAACGGUCAGAUUUGUUUAAGACAAAAAUUUAAGUUACAUCUCACUAGUGAGUAUUUUCUGUAUUAGUGACUUAGUGAGUAGUUGUCUAGUUGAAUACUGAGUAGUGACUAGACUUUUUAGUCGCUAAUUAAAUACAUCGUCUUUUCGGACGGCAAUGGAUCUUAGUACGAUCCAAACCCGGAUGUUUAGCUCCGGAAAUGCAGCUGAGUCCAGUCUCGCCAUCUUAAUGGUGCGUUCUCCGCUGCAGAUGGUGUCCCCAGAGACCUUAUAAAAGGAGACUCUUGAAACACAUCUAAGAAGAUAUCAAUUCCAUUCAUUUUAGAGUGACAUUCACGGAAGUAUAAACGUCGAUUCUUUCCAGAAGAAUUGACAUAAAGUGCACAACAAGAAAGUCUCUCGCACCGCCGCGAGUACUGGUGUAAUUUUUCGAUCAUCAUCAGUUAGUGUAAUCUGUGGGACCUUGGAUCCACGGGUGUCUAUCUGAAUGGUCGAUUUUCAAAGUUGUCUACCGCAAUAGAUAUUUUGACCACGAAGUUGCAGAAACAAAAUUUUUAAUGAAAUAUUUAAUUAUAGUAAACCUUAAUUAACAAUAUAUAUUAUAUAGAUUUAUAUUAGUUGACUUUAUUUAUAAAUACAUUCAAACUCAUAUAAUAUAAAAAUAAUUAUUAUAAUUAAAUAAAAAUAAGAUUAUUAUAAUUAUUAAUUUAUUAUUAUCAGACAAUCUUUACAUUAAUCAAGUUAAUUAUUUUAACUUGUAUUUAUUUUGAUCUCACAAACUAUUUUGAUUUAUCCCCUUACUUUAUCAUAGGUCUGGCAAUUCGUGUCAACACGACUGACACGAUUAAUUUUUUCGUCGACACGAACACGACUGGUCAAAAAAAUUCAACACCAACACGACUGAAUCCGUGUCGACACGACACGACUAGGGUCGUUAAAAUAUAAUUAAUUUGAAGAGACAUCAUGAGAGAUUGAACCCAUGACCUCUCAUGAUGUGUCAUGUUGUGUCAAUUUACGUUUCGUGUAAUCGUGUCGUGUUUUUAGAGACAAACACUAAACCGACACUAUUAUUAAUCGUGUCAAAACUUUCGACACUAACCCGACAUUAUUAUAAACGUGUCGUAUUCGUGUCGUGUUAAAAUCGUGUCGUGUUUUUUUUACUAAUCGUGUCUGUUAUUGUCACCCUUAUUUUAUCAAGUGAUCUUGUUUUUUAAAGGUUAUUUAACAUGGUGUGAAAGAGACUAAUUGAUCCAUACAAGUUACAAAGAAACCUCCAUGAUAAAAAAAUUUGUAACACUUAUACCUUCUCAACAAAUCUACACUACAAAAUUUUGAAAUUAAUGUUACCCCAAAAUCUAUGCAAGUUCAACACAAAGAUAUGGAAUUCCUUUUGGAAGAAUUUAAUCUCUCUUCUACCAAUACUUGUGGAAGUUGAGAAAAAUUACCUUCCAUGUCACCCACGAAUUCUAUAUAAAGAUGUGCACACCAAGCUCUCAAAACAUCAUUUAUAAAUCCAUUUUGAACAUGUGGAGAAUAUGGAGGGGCAGCAUAGGAACAAGGGAUAGACCGAGACGUAGCGGAAUGAAUGUGGCAGAAAAUUGUGUAUUAUGUGGUAAAGAACUUGAGACAAUAUCGCAUGUUUUUUUCAAAUGCAGAUUCACGAGGUGGAUGCUAAAGGAGGGCUUUGAUGCAGCGGGUGGAUUGGUGAAUACACAAGACAUUAGAGAUUUUGAAGUCAUGGCUCAUGAAAUUGAGAAAAUCACUCCUGGUUCAAAGUGCUGGGAAUUGCUAUUGGACAAUGUUUGGUUUCACAUAUGGAAGGAGCAAAACCAACGUCACCAUGGAGGAAUCUCAACCUCGUAGAAAAUGAUCAUAAGGGAAAGCAUCAGAUCGACGGAAAUCGAUUUCAAGGAAGAAAAAUUCAAAAAGCCACACAAGAGAAACGCGGAAUUGAGGGCAAUGCACCAAUGUGAUGCUCUUCAGUUGGUGAUCCACAACAGGGUGGAAGAAGGAAGUUAAGAUUGAUUAACUGUCGGGCAAACUUGUCUCUUUAUAUAGAAAGUAAGUAUAACUAUAUUUAAAUCAAUUGUUUUUGUGUGUUAAACUUCUGUAAACCUUAAUUUUUCUCUCUCUUAAUAUAUUAAGCAAUUUAUUCAAAAAAAAAUCCAUUUUGAAGCUUUUUUGUUGUCAAAACUCUUGCUUUCCAAGUUCUCUUGUUUCUGCUCUUGCUCUUUACCAAGCAUUGUGAGAGUUAUGCUUAAGAUUGUGUGCUUAAGUUCUUUACUUUUUCUUCUUCCCUUAUUCUACUUGUUAAGAGUGUGUUAAAAAAUCAAGUCACACAUUGUAAGUGUUCCAAGUGUUGUAAGAGACUUGUCUCAAAAUCAACAAUUGUGAGGUUACACAAGUUAAACCACAAAACUCGUUUGAUAGAUGUUUUACAUUGAACUGUAAAUCAUUUUUAACUCCUGUAUCAUUUUAUACAACAGACUUUCGAAAAUAUUAAAUAGUUCUAUCAUGCAUAAACUGCAUAAUUUUUUUCUAUUAAAUGGUUUCAACUUCCAAACAUGAUUGUAGUUUUAUAAAUGUAGAUGUUUGAAUUGAUGUCGUGUAGAUGAACUCUGUUUCGCUUGACUUCAAGCUCAAGUAUUUGUGAUGGACACUUAAAUUUAAGAUCUGAUAGUUUUCUUUAGAUGUAGAACAAAGUUUUCUUUAGAUGAGAUUUAUAGGGCGCUUAGUGAAAGAAAAAGUGCAGUAGAUGUUAUACUCAAGAUGGUUAAAUCUUGCUUCAAAUUUUGAUAAUACAUUAAUAAUCAUUUUUGUUUGUUGAAGUUUGAAACUAAAAAUAGAAAUAGCUGACUAUGGUUUGCCAACAAUGAGUUAUAUUUUGCAUCAUCAUCUGCAAUGGAUCCUUAAAUAAUAUAACAACAACAUCAUCAUCAUCCCUAAUACAUUUCUCAUCAAUACAGUUUCUCUUUACCCCUACCGAUCAUUACAAAUAAAAAUGAAGGUUAUAUGCAUCCGAUACAACCGACCACCUACAAGCUUUAACAUCAUCUUUGAAAUAUUGAAACCAAAAGUGUUUUGGUCACUUAUAGAGACAGACUUCAGUCACGCUAUAGAGCAAAAGAUCUUACAUUAAGGCUUGACAGUCUAUUUGGUUCAAACAUAAUUUCUUAAAAAAGAGGUGGAUCUACGUCAUCAAGCAUCACAUAAGUGAAAUUUCAAAGCACAUUUGUCAAUCUGAGUAUCAUUUCAGUUUAAAUUUACCCAGUGUUAAUAUGUAAUGUCAUAUGACUUUGGUGUAUUGCCUUGAGCUAUAAAUCCUUGUAGUAUUCCAAUCCUUGUAGAAAGGUACUCUCUAUUAUCAAAAAAAUGUCAAUGUAUUUCUAAAUAAAUUGGAAGUCGAUGGUACCAUUUCAUCUAUGGGCCUUUGAUGUAUUUUCUUUUCAUCCUUGAAGACUUGAUUUAUUCCCGAGGUUUAUUACUUUUCAUCCUUUGAAUGAUUUUUAAAGGGCAUGCAAGUUUCAAAUUUCAACAUUACCACCAAAUAUAUUGCUCCCCACUUCAAAGAAAAAUAGCUGACUGGGUUUGUGACUUUGUGGGCAAAUAAGCACAACACCAAUAAAGAAUGCCUUUUACAACUGUUAGAUAACAAUCAUCAACGAAACCUCAAAUUGAUGAAUCCAGGCAGCAUUCCCUGUGCAAAAGAGAAAAUACAGCAGGAAACGAGUAUUAUUCAUCAAUAGCAAUUGAUAAAUAUCUUUACUAUUAUGACUGCCAUUAUCUCUAGUCACCUGCUAUAGUAUUAUUCGCCUACUCAACUACAAAAAGAAGUAUCCAUCUCUAAUCCAUCUUUAUCAAAAGUACCCAAAGAAGAUACUCCCACAGUGCAUCAAACCAAAUAACCAUCGGUGCACUCUGUAUUAUCUCUACUUUUUAUAUAACCAAAAAAGUUAUCAGACUGAAUGCAGUUUACUCCACUUGAGUUAUAACUACAGCUCUACAACAAUAACUUAAUUUGUUAAAAUCAUGUCUACAUAGUGCAGAAAAUUCCAAGUUAAACCAACAACAUGUCUUGAUGAAACAGACCAAAUGCUACGGCCAGGAAACUUAUCAUGAUGUUUCUAGCAGAAACAAAUUCUAACACAGACAAUGUGAAAAAUGACAUAGCAUAGCAUAGAUAAUAUAAGAAACAAGGACACGAGAUACACUACAGACUAAAAAAUGCACAAUGCAAAAUGCAAGAUAUAAAUACCAGGUGGUCUAACAUUUAUCGCAGGUAAUAUUACUAAAUAAUAGGAAAAACCAUCUAAUAAUAGAUUUAAAGCAUUCCAACCAGUUGAUAGAUACACAUCUGCUUUGCAAGAGCACAGAUGCAUAACCUCCACGUAGCUGUUGCUAAAGAUAAUGAAUCAAAGAUGCUAUGGAAAUCGGCAGUUCUGUAAAGUCGAGGUAAAUCAUAUUGGAAUCAUUGUUGUUGUGGUUGCCUUGUUUGAGGACCACGAUACCCACCAUAACUUCCAGCACUAGGAGGCACAUUGACCUGUGUGGCUCCAUACGAUCUACCCUGUUAAGGAUCUUUCCAAGAACUAGCUAGAAUAACCACCAGUGGCAUUGCUAUCAUCAUAACCACCACCCAUGUAACCAGAACCGGCCCCUUACUCCCCAACACCACCUACACCAGAAAUAUAAACCACCACGACGUCCACCGUCAGCACCAUACCCACUAUGGUUAGCAUAAGGACCAACUCCUUGCUCUCCACCGUAGCCACCACCAUAUCCAUAACUUUGACUUCCAUAACCUGGUCCAUCAGAUGAUUGACCAGUUGGUGCAGCAGAGCCAUUAGAACCAGCAGUUCCAUAUCCAGUGUUUGAGCCAUAACCAGAAGAAUUAUAAACAGAUGAAGUUUGAUUAUUCCAAGGGCUUCUGGCAGCACCUUGUGGACCACUUCCAUAACCACCAGAAUUUGGGUUGCCAUAAGUGCCGGCAGGUCCAUAGCCAGACGUAGCAUUUCCAUAACCAGGCAUGCCAUAAGCACCAUAUCCGGUGCCAGCAGCUGCAUAUCCAUACCCAGCAUUCCCAUAACCAGAAGACCCACAACUCGGAUAACCAGAGCCUGCUGCAGGGGGUUGCAUAUACCUAUUAGUGUCCAUUCUACCAUCAUAGGAAGUUGCGUUUGAAAUAGAACCACUAUAAGAUUGAUAUGAUCCACCUUUACCACUGCCAGAGUUAGGAUUUGCAUCCUUAGGUAAAGCCUUCUUUACUUCUACAUGUUUCCCAGCUAAUUCAUGGAAUGUUUUAUGAAGUGCCAACUCAACAGCAUCCUCAGUAUCAAAUGUUAUGAAUCCAAAUCCUCGUGGCCUUUGUGUUGUUUGAUCGUACAUUACAACAACAUCAGUAACGGUUCCGUAAUUCUCAAAAUACUGACGGAAAUCAUCUUCAGUUAGAGUUGGGGGUAACCCACCAACGAAGAUUUUUUUAAUCCUCAUACUGCUACCUGAUCCACCCACCACCGGCAGAUUUUUUUAGUCUUCAAAGAAAUGAGUUUUUCUUUGUCAUUAACAUACAGGUUAGCUCAGUCGAAAUGAAUUUUUGCUUGUAUUUAUUUACACAAAUUAAACAAUAUUACGAUGACAGGUUCCCGGUGCAACUACAUAUAAUCUAGCAUUAUAUUACAUGUUGGACUCUCCACUUGAAAAAGUUCCUUUACUAGAAAGCUUUGUAAGAGGAGAUGAUGUAUUUCGAAAUUCCCGGUUUAAACUUAUUCCUUAUAUUUCUAAGGUAGGUAGAAAGAAAGAUUUAAGGAUGGAGAAUGACAAAUAGCUAAAUCCAUUUUUUAUCCAUUUCUUUUUCUUCUUCUACUUCUUCUUCUACUUCUUCUCUGUCAGUAUUUUUUACAGUUAAUUUUCUAAGGUUCUUGGAUCGUUAAACAAAGCGUAGGCAAGAAGGCAUGCUUGGUCGGUCAGGCUCUUGAAAUCAAUUAUUUCCAUGGAAGUAAUUACUUGGAGGUAUUGUUUGAGUAAUAAAUAAUUCAGAUUUUGUAUAUUCAUUCAAAAUGGUAUGGGGUUUAAACAGCUUGAUGUCGAUAUUAGAUCAUCUACGGUUGCGAGGGGAGUAGUGAGUCUUGUUCUUGGUUACUUAUUGAAGGUUGGUACUGAUUGAAGGUUGGUACUGAUUGAAGGUUGGUACUGUUUUUUUCAGAAUGAUUUGAGUAAUCAUUUUUUUUAACUUAAUUUUUUUUUUGAAGCUAUUAAAUGUUUAGUAAAUGGUAAUGUUUUUUUUAGGUUGGUUAAGUUUUUUGAAACUUUAAACUUUAAAUUUAUACAUACAUAUUACGUGAGUUGGAACUCCAACAUGUCUCACCAAGUUUUUAAAUGAUAGAUUAAAACGAUAAGGACUAAAAAGAUUGGAGAAAUGAAGAAUCAAAUGGAACGGUUGUUAUAAUUCAUAAUAAGUGUGCUAAAAAAAGAUCGAAAAAACAUCAAGAGUUAAGACUAUGUGAAAUAGUUUUUGUAUUGUUCUAGAUAAAUAUCAUGUGAAAUUUACUUGUAGGAAACAACCCUGGAUCAAAUCUAUAAUAUAUAGAUAUAAGAUUAAUAAUGGAAUGAAAUAAAGAUUUUACCUUGAUAGUUGAUAUCACAACAGAGUAUUUUUUAAAUGAGAUUCAGCCACUAGAAAAGAAGACGAAGGAAAAGAAAGGUACUUGUUCAUUCCUUUCCCUCAAAUUCCACAACUAAAGAUGGAUUUAGCAUGUAAAGAUUGCGUCUCUACCAUAUAGCACACCAGCUAUAAUAACCCCAAAGUCAUUGGAGAAUAAGCACUUUUUCAAGGUACGUGAAUAUAAGAUUCUGCUUCAAACCCAACAUGAAUAAAUUUGUCAUUUUAUUAAAAUUGGCUUACCAGGACGGCAGGAUUGUGUAGAUGUUGAAGACAUGUAAAAUGAUGCAUUAAAUGACACGGUUCUUCAUACUCAGAGUGUGGGGUACAGCGAUAAACAAUGGAUUUCUUCACUUGAAUAAAUAUAUGUCGUUUUAUUAAAAUUGGCUGCCAAAGAGAGUAAUGAUUGCUUGCCGUGAUACCAGAAUUGUGUAGAUGUUGAAGGGAUGUAAAAUGAUGCAUUAAAUGACACGGUUCUUCAUACUCACAGAAUGUGGGGGGUGCAGUGAUAAGCAAUGGAUUUCUUCACUUCCCAUCACAACUUUAUUGCAUCAUCUGCCUACUUAGCAGUUAGCAUAUCUACAAUAAAAAAAGAGCUGGUUAAUAGAUUUCACAUAUGAAUUCACUGUUUGCACAUAUGAAUUCUAAGCAGAUUGAAUAUUUGACUUCACUGUUUGCAGUUUUCAUAACUUCAAACAUGUCAAGAUGUAAUAAACAAAGGUUCUGUAAAGAUAUGCGCCUACGCGGUAAUGCAGAAGCCAGCCACCAACAUAUGCUAGCUAAUAUUGGCCGGGUUUUUUCCAUGUAAAUUAUUAAUUUUUAUAAUAUAACCAAUUCGAUAUUGCAUAUAAAAUAUAUAAGAUAAUUUUGGAUACAUUAUUAGAUAUUUAGACUUACUACUAAGGUCUUAAUUCUUGAUCAAUUCACUAAAUAUAAGGCCAAACCCAAACAUAAGCAGAUAAGGUUCAAAACAAAUCCCAAAACAUGCUUUCAAAAAAAAUCCUAAACAUAAGCACAUAAGGUAUUAAUUUUUAGGAUAAAAAAUUUAAGGAUUAACCAAAAAAAAAACAUGAUUAGCAUUAACUUGAAUAUUUGAUUAUCCCAAUUACUACAAAUUUAGUAACUAUUUUACGCCUAAAAUAACAUCGAUUACAAAUUAACAAACAUUUUGAGAAUGGCAUCACUUCAAUAUGCAACAUAAACAUUGUGGAUUUGGAGUCAAAUAUUUACGACUAAAUCCAUAAAUUUUACCUAUAUAAAAUAUAACCAGAUAGAUAAAUAAAGUUUAAUCCAGGAUUUCAAACAAAUAGUAAAUUAAAUAUCUUCAAUCCACUAGACAUGAAUAAUAUUAUUCUCAAAGAAAAAACUCCUUCAAAGAAAAUGCCAGUUUCAAGUUUCCACGUACCAGAAAUUGCAUUGUACCCACUUCAAAGAAGAAGAGCUGAAUGGAUUUACGGACAAUAACCUAGUGCACAUAAAAGAAUGCCUCGGUGCCUCGUACAACAAUUAGAUCACAAUCAUCAACUAAUCCUCAAAUUGAUGAAUCCAGACAGCAUAUCCUGCACAAAAAAAGAAAAAAUAGCAGAAAACGAGCAUUAUUCAUCAAUAUUUCAAUUCAAAAAUUUCUCUAAUACUAAGACUGCCAUUAUCUCUAGUUACCUGCUACAGAGUUAUUCGCCUACUCAACUACAAAAAGUACUCAUCUUUAAUCUUUAUCAUAAGUACCCAAAGAAGAUACUCCCACGGUGCAUCAAACCAAAUAACCAUCAGUGCACUCUGAAUCUCUACUUUUUAUAUAACCAAAGAAGUUAUCAAACUGAAUUCUGUCUACUCCACUUGAGUAUAACUACAGCUCUACGGUAAUAACUUAAUUCAGUAAAAUCAUGUCUAAAUUGUGCAGAAAAUUCCAAGUUAAACCAUCAACAUGUCUUGGUGCAACAGACCAAAUGCUACGGCCAGGAAACUUAUCAUGAUGUUUCUAACAGAAACAUAAGUUUUAACAAUGUGAAAAUUGACAUAACAAAGAAUAGAUAAUAUAAAAAUGGAGACAAAACAUACUGCAAACUAGAAAACGCAAAGUGCAAGCAAGAUAUAAAUACCAGGUGGUCCAAUUAUGUAUCGCAUAUGAUAUUACUAAAUAAUAGGAAAAAACAUAAAGAACUACAGAUCUAAUAAUAGGUUUAAAGCAUUCCAACCAGUUGAUAAAUACACAUCUGCUUUGGAAGAGCACAGGUGCACAACCUCCACGUAGCUUCAGCUGACGAUAAUCAAUCAAAAUGCCAAGGAAAUAGGCAGUUCUGUAAAGUCGAGGUAAAUAAUAUUGGAAUCAUUGUUGUUGUGGUUGCCUAGUCUGAGGACCACCAUACCCACCAUAAUUUCCAGCACCGGGAGGCACAUUGACCUGUGUGGCUCCAUACGAUCCACCCUGUGAAGGAUCUUUCCAAGAGCUAGAAUAACCACCAGUGGCAUUACUAUCACUGUAACCACCACCCAUGUAACCAGAACCGACCCCUUGCUCCCCACCACCACCUACACCAGAAAUACCACCACUACGUCCACCAACAGCACCAUACCCACUAUGGUUAGCAUAUGGUCCAACUCCUUGCUCUCCACCGUAGCCACCACCAUAUCCAUAACUUUGACUUCCAUAACCUGGUCCAUCAGACGAUUGACCAGUUGGUGCAGCAGAGCCAUUAGAACCAGCAGUUCCAUAUCCAGUGUUUGAGCCAUAACCAGAAGAAUUAUAAACUGAUGAAGUUUGAUUAUUCCAAGGGCUUCUGGGUGCACCUUGUGGACCACUUCCAUAACCACCAGAAUUUGGGUUGCCAUAAGUGCCGGCAGGUCCAUAGCCAGACGUAGCAUUUCCAUAACCAGGCAUGCCAUAAGCACCAUAUCCGGUGCCAGCAGCUGCAUAUCCGUACCCAGCAUUCCCAUAACCAGAAGACCCAUAACUCGGAUAACCAGAGCCUGCUGUGGGAGGUUGCAUAUACCUAUUAGUGUCCAUUCUACCAUCAUAGGAAGUUGCGUUUGAAAUAGAACCACCAUAAGGUUGAUAUGAUCCAGCUCCACCACCACCGUUGCUAGGAUUUGCAUCCUUAGGUAAAGCCUUCUUCACUUCUACAUUUUUCCCAGCUAAUUCAUGAAAUGUUUUAUGAAGUGCUAACUCAACAGCAUCCUCGGUAUCAAAUGUUAUGAAUCCAAAUCCUCGUGGCCUUUGUGUUGUUUGAUCGUACAUUACAACAACA
rnacentral:lncRNA from 1 species